rfam:Babesia bigemina strain Bond genome assembly, chromosome: III
GCCCUCUUAGCUCAGUCGGAUAGAGCGCCAGACUCUUAAUCUGGUGGUCGGGGGUUCGAGUCCCUCAGGGGGCU